AACAUCACUAAGUCCACUGGCCAACACUAGUCUGUCGAUCAAAAAUUUUUGACAAUCGAAGAUAAUGUGUUCCACAGUUCCAUCACUUGAAUUACAAUGUGAACAUGUUUUAUUCGCAAUAAUGCCGAGUCGAGCAAGGUGUGACGGUGCAGUAUUAUGACCAAAACGCAGUCUAUUUAUGAUAGUAAUAAAGUCUCGAGGAGCAUCUUGCAUACGAUGAUACCAAGGUCUUGCAGAAAUAUAUCGGACAUUGUUGGAGAAUUACCACAUAUUAGACCUUGUGCUGUUGUUAACGGUAUUCUUGGGGAUCUAUCUAUAUAAGGUCAGAGAUUAAAGAGGUGAAACUGUCUGCACUACUACGCCCUCUACGGAAGCCAAAUUGUAUAGGUGGAAUGAAACACUUAGAUUCAACAUACCAAUCAAGACGGACUUUCACCAUAUUUUCGAAUAUUUUACCAAGACAGGAUGACAAG